rnacentral:rRNA from 1 species
UACGUAGGUGGCAAGCGUUAUCCGGAAUUAUUGGGCGUAAAGCGCGCGCAGGCGGUCCUUUAAGUCUGAUGUGAAAGCCCACGGCUCAACCGUGGAGGGUCAUUGGAAACUGGGGGACUUGAGUGCAGAAGAGGAGAGCGGAAUUCCACGUGUAGCGGUGAAAUGCGUAGAGAUGUGGAGGAACACCAGUGGCGAAGGCGGCUCUCUGGUCUGUAACUGACGCUGAGGCGCGAAAGCGUGGGGAGCAAACAGG